AUGAUCAAUUGUUGUGGCGUUCUUGUUGAGGUCAACCGUCACUGUGGUCACUUCAUCUUCCUCCUCCUUGGCAACCUCCUUUGAUUCUUCUGCCUGUGGGGGAGAAAAGCUUUGUGGAAGCUUUUCUCUACUGAACAGCGCAUCGAAAGCCAUACGACCCUGUCAACAAAAAUGUGAAUUAGAAAAAUGAUGGAUGCUCAAAUAUUUAGAUAGAAGUGAUUUUGCAUAUUGUUGGUAGGCUACAACCUCUUCAGAAACUUCCUUCCAUGAAUCACUUGUGCUUCCACUGCUUCUAAAUUUGCGGUGGUUAGUGUCACCGGCUGAAGAGUUACUGCAGGAGGCUUGCUUUGCCUUGUCAUUAGCCUUAUCUUCUUUCUCAGGAACAUUUCCUGCCUCUACAUCGCUACUUGAAGGUGUGUUGGAGCCACAUGAAGAGCGAUCCUGCUUUUUCUUAUUCCUGAAUGCAUCACUAAUGUCAGCUCCUGUAGUAGGUGCAGCAUCGGUAUUCUGGACAGGAGAUAUCUUUAACUCAGUAUGGAGAGACAUGUCGCCUUUUCUAGUCCCAUCAGACUCUGAAGACACAGCAACUCUCAAAGCUUCAGACUGGCCUUGUUUCUGAGCCUCUUGGCAUCCCUUCUGUGCAUUUUCAACCGGGGAAUCUCUGUCUUUGUCUAAAGGUCGUGGAACAUCUGCUGUGGUAAAGGCAGCACUAGGAGCUGGUACAAAUGGAAAAGCCAUGGGGGGAGUGAAAAAAGGGAGAAGACCUUGUGUUGCCCACCAUGCAGAUGCUGCAGCAACUGUAGCUGCUACGAUAGAAGCCAUGCUUGGAGGAGAGCCUAAGUUCCUUCCUUGAACACCCUCUGCAGGAUUUUCUUGAGUUGGAUCAACAGGAGUGUU
rnacentral:lncRNA from 1 species